rnacentral:sRNA from 15 species
GUCAACCACCCCGCCCUGAAGGGCGGAGCUUGAAAGGAGGUUCGACAAGCUCGGGUUGACCAGGGAAAGCGGUACCCAACCCGCUACGUUGGCAACAGGUACAAGACCCACCCCGGGAUGCUUCCUCAGUCCCGGGCUCUGGA